UACGGGGGGUGCGAGCGUUGUCCGGAAUCACUGGGCGUAAAGGGCGCGUAGGUGGUUUGAUAAGGGUGUGGUGAAAGUCCGGGGCUCAACCCCGGAUCUGCCGUGCCGACUGUCAAACUCGAGGGCUGUAGAGGCAGACGGAAUUCCGGGUGUAGGGGUGGAAUGCGUAGAUAUCAGGAGGAACACCUGCGGUGUAGACG
rnacentral:rRNA from 1 species